GAUGAACGCUGGCGGAAUGCUUUACACAUGCAAGUCGAACGGCAGCACGGACUUCGGUCUGGUGGCGAGUGGCGAACGGGUGAGUAAUACAUCGGAACGUGCCCAGUCGUGGGGGAUAACGUAGCGAAAGCUACGCUAAUACCGCAUACGAUCUAAGGAUGAAAGCGGGGGAUCGCAAGACCUCGCGCGAUUGGAGCGGCCGAUGGCAGAUUAGGUAGUUGGUGGGGUAAAGGCUCACCAAGCCGACGAUCUGUAGCUGGUCUGAGAGGACGACCAGCCACACUGGGACUGAGACACGGCCCAGACUCCUACGGGAGGCAGCAGUGGGGAAUUUUGGACAAUGGGCGCAAGCCUGAUCCAGCCAUUCCGCGCGCAGGAUGAAGGCCUUCGGGUUGUAAACUGCUUUUGUACGGAACGAAAAGGCUCUGGUUAAUACCCGGGGCUCAUGACGGUACCGUAAGAAUAAGCACCGGCUAACUACGUGCCAGCAGCCGCGGUAA
rnacentral:rRNA from 1 species